AUUGAACGCUGGCGGCAGGCUUAACACAUGCAAGUCGAGCGAGCGGCGGACGGGUGAGAAAUGUCUGGGAAACUGCCGGAUGGAGGGGGGUAACUACUGGAAACGGUAGCUCAUACAGCAUACCCUCAGAUGUGCCCCGGUGGGAUUAGCUCGUAGGUGGGGUAACGGCGCACCUAGGCGACGCUCCCUAGCUGGUCUUGGAGGAUGACCAGCCACACUGGAAAUGAGCCACGGCCCAGACUCCUACGGGAGGCAGCAGUGGGGAAUAUUGCACAAUGGGCGCAAGCCUGAUGCAGCCAUGCCGCGUGUGUGAAGAAGGCCUUAGGGUUGUAAAGCACUUUCGGCGGGGAGGCGGUACCCGAAGAAGAAGCACCGGCUAACUCCGUGCCAGCAGCCGCGGUAAUAC
rnacentral:rRNA from 1 species